AGCUUUGUGCAGUGGUAAUAUCAUAGCCAAUGAAGGCUUACUGAGGAGUGAUUAUUGCUAUUUGAAAACUUUACUAAUGUGCUAUACGUGUGUCGGAGUGCAGUGAGUGACAAUAAAGUGUUGAAAGCACAACAAGGGA